rnacentral:rRNA from 1 species
ACAGUGGACGCGAGCAUCUGUGGCCAAGUUUUUAAGGGCGCACGGUGGAUGCCUUGGCACCAGGAACCGAUGAAGGACGUGGGAGGCCACGAUAGGCCCCGGGGAGUCGUCAACCAGGCUUUGAUCCGGGGGUGUCCGAAUGGGGAAACCCGGCAGUCGUCAUGGGCUGUCACCCUUGCCUGAACACAUAGGGCAAGUGGAGGGAACGCGGGGAAGUGAAACAUCUCAGUACCCGCAGGAAGAGAAAACAACCGUGAUUCCGGGAGUAGUGGCGAGCGAAACCGGAUGAGGCCAAACCGUAUGCGUGUGAGACCCGGCAGGGGUUGCGCAUUCGGGGUUGUGGGAUCUCUCUUCUGUUGUCUGCCGGCAACAGGACGAGUCAGAAACCGUUGAUGUAGGCGAAGGACAUGCGAAAGGUCCGGCGUAGAGGGUAAGACCCCCGUAGUCGAAACGUCAGCGGCUCGUUUGAGAGACACCCAAGUAGCACGGGGCCCGAGAAAUCCCGUGUGAAUCUGGCGGGACCACCCGCUAAGCCUAAAUAUUCCCUGGUGACCGAUAGCGGAUAGUACCGUGAGGGAAUGGUGAAAAGUACCGCGGGAGCGGAGUGAAAUAGUACCUGAAACCGUGUGCCUACAAGCCGUGGGAGCGUCGCGCAAGGACUUGUCCUUGCGUCGUGACUGCGUGCCUUUUGAAGAAUGAGCCUGCGAGUUUGCGGUGUGUUGCGAGGUUAACCCGGGUGGGGAAGCCGUAGCGAAAGCGAGUCCGAACAGGGCGUUUUAGUAGCACGCUCAAGACCCGAAGCGGAGUGAUCUAGCCAUGGGCAGGUUGAAGCGGAGGUAAGACUUCGUGGAGGACCGAACCCACCAGGGUUGAAAACCUGGGGGAUGACCUGUGGUUAGGGGUGAAAGGCCAAUCAAACUCCGUGAUAGCUGGUUCUCCCCGAAAUGCAUUUAGGUGCAGCGUCGUGUGUUUCUUGCCGGAGGUAGAGCACUGGAUAGGCGAUGGGCCCUACCGGGUUACUGACCUUAGCCAAACUCCGAAUGCCGGUAAGUGAGAGCGCGGCAGUGAGACUGUGGGGGAUAAGCUCCAUGGUCGAGAGGGAAACAGCCCAGAGCAUCGACUAAGGCCCCUAAGCGUACGCUAAGUGGGAAAGGAUGUGGAGUCGCACAGACAACCAGGAGGUUGGCUUAGAAGCAGCCACCCUUGAAAGAGUGCGUAAUAGCUCACUGGUCUAGUGAUUCCGCGCCGACAAUGUAGCGGGGCUCAAGCGUACCGCCGAAGUCGUGUCAUUGCAGCAGGUAGCCCCAACGGGUGCUGUGAUGGGUAGGGGAGCGUCGUCUGCCGGGUGAAGCAGCCGCGGAAGCGAGUUGUGGACGGUUGACGAGUGAGAAUGCAGGCAUGAGUAGCGAUUCACACGUGAGAAACGUGUGCGCCGAUUGACUAAGGGUUCCUGGGUCAAGCUGAUCUGCCCAGGGUAAGUCGGGACCUAAGGCGAGGCCGACAGGCGUAGUCGAUGGAUAACCGGUUGAUAUUCCGGUACCCGCUGUGAAGCGUCAAACAUCGAAUCCAGUGAUGCUAAGCCCGUGAAGCCGCCGGCUGAGUCUUCGGACGAGGUCGGAGUGGUGGAGCCGGUGACCCGAGCUGGUAGUAGGUGAGUGAUGGGGUGACGCAGGAAGGUAGUCCAUCCCGGGCGGUGGUUGUCCCGGGGUAAGGGUGUAGGACGGUGUGCAGGCAAAUCCGCGCACCAUUGAGUCUGAGACCUGAUGCCGAGCCGAUUGUGGUGAAGUGGAUGAUCCUAUGCUGUCGAGAAAAGCCUCUAGCGAGUUUCAUGGCGGCCCGUACCCUAAACCGACUCAGGUGGUCAGGUAGAGAAUACCGAGGCGUUCGGGUGAACUAUGGUUAAGGAACUCGGCAAAAUGCCCCCGUAACUUCGGGAGAAGGGGGGCCACAUCCGGUGAUGAGCUUCGCGCUCUGAGCUGGGGGUGGCCGCAGAGACCAGCGAGAAGCGACUGUUUACUAAAAACACAGGUCCGUGCGAAGCCGUAAGGCGAUGUAUACGGACUGACGCCUGCCCGGUGCUGGAACGUUAAGGGGACCGGUUAGCUCCAUUUCGGUGGGGCGAAGCUGAGAACUUAAGCGCCAGUAAACGGCGGUGGUAACUAUAACCAUCCUAAGGUAGCGAAAUUCCUUGUCGGGUAAGUUCCGACCUGCACGAAUGGCGUAACGACUUCUCGACUGUCUCAACCAUAGGCCCGGUGAAAUUGCACUACGAGUAAAGAUGCUCGUUUCGCGCAGCAGGACGGAAAGACCCCGGGACCUUUACUACAGUUUGAUAUUGGUGUUCGGUUCGGCUUGUGUAGGAUAGCUGGGAGACUUUGAGCAUCGGACGCCAGUUCGGUGGGAGUCGUCGUUGAAAUACCAGUCUGGUCGUGCUGGAUGUCUAACCUGGGUCCGUGAUCCGGAUCAGGGACAGUGUCUGAUGGGUAGUUUAACUGGGGCGGUUGCCUCCUAAAGGGUAACGGAGGCGCCCAAAGGUUCCCUCAGCCUGGUUGGCAAUCAGGUGUUGAGUGUAAGUGCACAAGGGAGCUUGACUGUGAGACCGACGGGUCGAGCAGGGACGAAAGUCGGGACUAGUGAUCCGGCGGUGGCUUGUGGAAGCGCCGUCGCUCAACGGAUAAAAGGUACCCCGGGGAUAACAGGCUGAUCUUCCCCAAGAGUCCAUAUCGACGGGAUGGUUUGGCACCUCGAUGUCGGCUCGUCGCAUCCUGGGGCUGGAGUCGGUCCCAAGGGUUGGGCUGUUCGCCCAUUAAAGCGGUACGCGAGCUGGGUUUAGAACGUCGUGAGACAGUUCGGUCCCUAUCCGCUGUGCGCGUAGGAGUCUUGAGAAGGGCUGUCCCUAGUACGAGAGGACCGGGACGGACGAACCUCUGGUGUGCCAGUUGUUCUGCCAAGGGCAUGGCUGGUUGGCUACGUUCGGGAGGGAUAACCGCUGAAAGCAUCUAAGCGGGAAGCCUGCUUCGAGAUGAGGACUCCCACCUCCUGGAGAGGGUAAGGCUCCCAGUAGACGACUGGGUUGAUAGGCCGGAUAUGGAAGCACGGUAACGUGUGGAGUUGACCGGUACUAAUAGGCCGAGGGCUUGUCCUCAGUUG